rnacentral:rRNA from 1 species
CAGCACCUCAAGUGGUCAGGAUGAUUAUUGGGCCUAAAGCAUCCGUAGCCUGCUUUGUCAGUUUUCGGUUAAAUCCAUAUGCUCAACGUAUGGGCUGCCGGGAAUACUACAAAGCUAGGGAGUGGGAGAGGUAGACGGUACUCGGUAGGAAGGGGUAAAAUCCUUUGAUCUAUUGAUGACCACCUGUGGCGAAGGCGGUCUACCAGAACACGUCCGACGGUGAGGGAUGAAAGCUGGGGGAGCAGACCGGAUUAGAUACCCGCGUAGUCC